rnacentral:rRNA from 1 species
AGUCGAAAGGGAAACAGCCCAGACCACCAGCUAAGGUCCCAAAAUAUAUGUUAAGUGGAAAAGGAUGUGGGGUUGCACAGACAACUAGGAUGUUGGCUUAGAAGCAGCCAUCAUUUAAAGAGUGCGUAAUAGCUCACUAGUCGAGUGACCCUGCGCCGAAAAUGUACCGGGGCUAAACAUAUUACCGAAGCUGUGGAGUACACCUUUAGGUGUAUUGGUAG